rnacentral:rRNA from 1 species
GUGGGGAAUAUUGGACAAUGGGCGAAAGCCUGAUCCAGCCAUGCCGCGUGUGUGAAGAAGGUCUUCGGAUUGUAAAGCACUUUAAGUUGGGAGGAAGGGCAGUAAGUUAAUACCUUGCUGUUUUGACGUUACCGACAGAAUAAGCACCGGCUAACUUCGUGCCAGCAGCCGCGGUAAUACGAAGGGUGCAAGCGUUAAUCGGAAUUACUGGGCGUAAAGCGCGCGGAGGUGGUUUUGUAAGUUGGAGGUGAAAUCCCCGGGCUCAACCUGGGAACUGCCUCCAAAACUGCAUGACUAGAGUACGGUAGAGGGUAGUGGAAUUUCCUGUGUAGCGGUGAAAUGCGUAGAUAUAGGAAGGAACACCAGUGGCGAAGGCGACUACCUGGACUGAUACUGACACUGAGGUGCGAAAGCGUGGGGAGCAAACAGGAUUAGAAACCCGGGUAGUCC